AUUUAUAUAGUUUAAAAUAAUUCAAAACACUACAUUUUCACUGUAGAAACAAAGAAAUCUUUUAUAAAUA
rnacentral:tRNA from 1 species